CUUGCUGGCUGUAGUCACAGAUUGAAAUCGUUGAUUUAGUGCGAGAAUUUUAUACUGUUUUUAUUACAAGAUGUCUACCAAGGUGUUCCUCGUACUGGCCAUGGUUGCUCUGCUUGUCAUAGGGUAUACUGAAGCUCAGACGACAAUGGCGCCGACAGCAGAGGAUGACACGGCAACGAUGGAAACGUCCACUUCUGGAACCGUAUCCUUGUCUGUAUCCAUAGUGAUGUUGAUUUCAGUUGGAGCUGUUUCUCUCAUCAGAUAAUACCACAUCUGACAAUGUCUUCCAUUAGGCAGAUAAGAGCUCAGUCGUCCAAUCUAUCUCGCCGUUGCCAUGGCAAGCAGUAUUUCAAUUGCCCGUCAUUCAUUGUUUUAUUGUAGUCUGUUGAUGGGCCAAAGAUUUGAUCUGGGACGUCGUGUGUCGCAUGAAUGGUUAUUAGUGCACCAAUCUUCAUCAUCUGUGAUUAUUUAGUAAUUGUUAUUAAUUAUAACUAUCGGUAAGACGUGUGACGAUGAACGCUGUUGGAAUAAACUCCCUUGUGAUUCUACUGUUUUUUCUGGUAGAUGAUUUUAACUCUUUUAGAAGUGAACCGUAAAUACCGAUGUUAACACUGAGGGCGCCAUCUAAAUUGAACAACGUAUUAAAUCUCGACUGGAGAAAAGAUCCGCCCCUUGUCACGCGGUAAUGUUGGUGUACUUUAUAUACCUUUGUUGGUAUGAGAGCCAAAUGUAGUUUGUUGUAUGAUAACAGCUAUUAGUUUCACUUGUAUUACUGAGUAAAAAUAAAUAAUAAAAAAAAAACAGAA